UACGAAGGUGGCUAGCGUUGUUCGGAAUUACUGGGCGUAAAGCGCGCGCAGGCGGUCUUCCAAGUCAGUGGUGAAAGCCCGGAGCUCAACUCCGGAACUGCCAUUGAAACUGUAAGACUUGAGGAUGAGAGAGGUGAGUGGAAUUCCCAGUGUAGAGGUGAAAUUCGUAGAUAUUGGGAAGAACACCGGUGGCGAAGGCGGCUCACUGGCUCAUUACUGACGCUCAGGCGCGACAGCGUGGGGAGUCAAACAGG
rnacentral:rRNA from 1 species